rnacentral:tRNA from 1 species
GGGGUUAUAUUUAAACUAUAAAGUUUGGUUUGCAGCCAAAAAUUAGCGUAUUUUCGCUUAGUCCCA